rnacentral:rRNA from 1 species
UACAGAGGGUGCAAGCGUUGUUCGGAAUUAUUGGGCGUAAAGGGCGCGUAGGCGGCUGUACAAGUCAAAGGUGAAAUCCCUCGGCUCAACUGAGGAACUGCCUUUGAAACUGUACGGCUUGAGGCCGGGAGGGGGUAGCGGAAUUCCCGAUGUAGCGGUGAAAUGCGUAGAUAUUGGGAGGAACACCAGUGGCGAAGGCGGCUACCUGGACCGGUUCUGACGCUGAGGCGCGAAAGCGUGGGUAGCAAACAGG